rnacentral:ribozyme from 1 species
AGAGGUCUACAAGUUUGAGGCCAUAGCAGAAGCACUCGUGGCAUGGCCCUGUCAGAUUCCAGUGAAUUUGUGAAUUCUGCU